GCAGUCGAACGGCAGCACAGGAGAGCUUGCUCUCUGGGUGGCGAGUGGCGGACGGGUGAGGAAUACAUCGGAAUCUACUUUUUCGUGGGGGAUAACGUAGGGAAACUUACGCUAAUACCGCAUACGACCUACGGGUGAAAGCAGGGGAUCUUCGGACCUUGCGCGAUUGAAUGAGCCGAUGUCGGAUUAGCUAGUUGGCGGGGUAAAGGCCCACCAAGGCGACGAUCCGUAGCUGGCCUGAGAGGAUGAUCAGCCACACUGGAACUGAGACACGGUCCAGACUCCUACGGGAGGCAGCAGUGGGGAAUAUUGGACAAUGGGCGCAAGCCUGAUCCAGCCAUACCGCGUGGGUGAAGAAGGCCUUCGGGUUGUAAAGCCCUUUUGUUGGGAAAGAAAUCCAGCUGGCUAAUACCCGGUUGGGAUGACGGUACCCAAAGAAUAAGCACCGGCUAACUUCGUGCCAGCAGCCGCGGUAAUACGAAGGGUGCAAGCGUUACUCGGAAUUACUGGGCGUAAAGCGUGCGUAGGUGGUCGUUUAAGUCCGUUGUGAAAGCCCUGGGCUCAACCUGGGAACUGCAGUGGAUACUGGGCGACUAGAAUGUGGUAGAGGGUAGCGGAAUUCCUGGUGUAGCAGUGAAAUGCGUAAGAUCAGGAGGAACAUCCAUGGCGAAGGCAGCUACCUGGACCAACAUUGACACUGAGGCACGAAAGCGUGGGGAGCAAACAGGAUUAAUACCCUGGUAGUCCACGCCCUAAACGAUGCGAACUGGAUGUUGGGUGCAAUUUGGCACGCAGUAUCGAAGCUAACGCGUUAAGUUCGCCGCCUGGGGAGUACGGUC
rnacentral:rRNA from 1 species